UUAAGCAUAUCAGUAAGCAGAGGAAAAGAAAACAACUGUGAUUCCCUUAGUAACUGCGAGUGAAGCGGGAAAAGCCCAUCGUUUAAUCUUCCCGGACUAUGGACGGGACGAAAUGUAACGGUAUGGAUAGGUUCUCUACCAGCAAUGUCUGAUCAAAGUCCUCCGGAUUGAGGUGCCUAAGAGGGUGACAGCCCCGUGUGUGAUUGGACAGAACUGGGUAUGUGGCCGAUUCCGAGAGUCGGGUUGUUUGGGACUGCAACCUAAAGUAGGUGGUAAACUCCACCCAAGGCUAAAUAUUGACACGAAACCGAUAGCGAACAAGUACUGUGAAGGAAAGUUGAAAAGAACUCUGAAAAGAGAGUUAAAAGUACGUGAAACCGCUAACGGGGAAGCGGAAGGCAGUGUCGAGAUUGAGUGAGUGAGUUGGUUCAAGUGUGUUUGGUGUGUCGUGUUUGCGGUGUGUAAUGUGCAUUUGAAUCGGCUAGCUUUGCUUGAUGCGUCAGGACUAUUGGUGUGCGAUGGUUCAAUUGUUGGCAUGGCUUCCACGAUAAUUGCUUUUGUGAUUCCGUGGUUGCGGCUGAUGAUCCGCCUCGUGUGCUGAUAUGUAUGAGAUGGAGCGUUGGUGAUGUAUUGUCGGUUGGUGCUGCGCGGUGCUUCGUUCUGGUCACAUUGUGGCUACGUGCGGAGAAGUCGUGUGGUGGUUCAACAACCAGUGCUAGCUCCUGACGUGAUACCUAACUUUC
rnacentral:rRNA from 1 species